rnacentral:rRNA from 1 species
CAGUCGCCGCGGUAAUACGUAGGUGGCAAGCGUUGUCCGGAAUUAUUGGGCGUAAAGCGCGCGCAGGUGGUUUAAUAAGUCUGAUGUGAAAGCCCACGGCUCAACCGUGGAGGGUCAUUGGAAACUGUUAAACUUGAGUGCAGGAGAGAAAAGUGGAAUUCCUAGUGUAGCGGUGAAAUGCGUAGAGAUUAGGAGGAACACCAGUGGCGAAGGCGGCUUUUUGGCCUGUAACUGACACUGAGGCGCGAAAGCGUGGGGAGCAAACAGGAUUAGAUACACCAGUAGUCCCUGUCUCUUAUAC